rnacentral:rRNA from 1 species
UAAUACGUAGGGCGCAAGCGUUGUCCGGAAUUAUUGGGCGUAAAGAGCUCGUAGGCGGCUUGUCACGUCGGGUGUGAAAGCCCGGGGCUUAACCCCGGGUCUGCAUUCGAUACGGGCUAGCUAGAGUGUGGUAGGGGAGAUCGGAAUUCCUGGUGUAGCGGUGAAAUGCGCAGAUAUCAGGAGGAACACCGGUGGCGAAGGCGGAUCUCUGGGCCAUUACUGACGCUGAGGAGCGAAAGCGUGGGGAGCGAACAGGAUUAGAUACCCUGGUAGUCCACGCCGUAAACGGUGGGAACUAGGUGUUGGCGACAUUCCACGUCGUCGGUGCCGCAGCUAACGCAUUAAGUUCCCCGCCUGGGGAGUACGGCCGCAAGGC